rnacentral:rRNA from 1 species
ACAUCGGUGACAGGUGGUGCAUGGUUGUCGUCAGCUCGUGGUCGUGAGAUGUUGGUUAAGUCCCGCAACGAGCGCAACCCCUAUUGUUAGUUGCCAUCAUUCAGUUGGGCACUCUAGCGAGACUGCCGGUAAUAAACCGGAGGAAGGUGGGGAUGACGUCAAAUCAUCAUGCCCCUUAUGACCUGGGCUACACACGUGCUACAAUGGUUGGUACAACGAGUUGCGAGUCGGUGACGGCGAGCUAAUCUCUUAAAGCCAAUCUCAGUUCGGAUUGUAGGCUGCAACUCGCCUACAUGAAGUCGGAAUCGCUAGUAAUCGCGGAUCAGCACGCCGCGGUGAAUACGUUCCCGGGCCUU